ensembl:lncRNA
AAGUUGUAAAUGUUUGAUUUUUGCAUGCCAUCAUUGUGUAACAGAUUACCCUAACAACUGGUCAGAAUAUGGACAUUACGGCUGGGUACUGUUUUGAUACCAGUUCUGGUACUAUAAUUACACCACCAGCUAUAAAAGAUAUGUUGCGCUACCUUUCUUUAAGGGGUUAGCUAUAUAUAUUCUGCGAAAUACUUAGUUAAUAAUAUUAUUUGCUUUUUGCUUUAUCUCCAUCAUUGGUGCUAGGCACUCAUUGCCGUAGUUUUCCUUUAGUGCACCUCUCUGAGAUCACCUGUCAUACAUACAGUAUGACUCAUACUUCUUUAUCAAAGCAAAUGCAAAAGCUUUCAUUAUGGUUGUGGUCUGUUGUGCUUGUAAUCACAUCAUUCUGCAAUAUAGUGUUGCACGGUAGUAAGGUCUGCAUAUGUUGUGGACCAUGUCCCACAGCCUCCAUGUGGUAAUGCAAGUAGGACUUCUAACCUAUGAGAAACCAAAUGUAGGUGUCUGUCCCUUGUCAUCCAGGUCAUGUCUGUUUUUUUUUUUUUUUUUUUUUUUUUUUUUAACUUUUUGCACACUUAUUAGAUUGAGUGCUAAAUUAAGUUUAUGACUUAAAAUAUAAAUUUAUAUAAUGUUGUGAAUAUAAAAAAUAUAUAUGUUAGGCAUUUCGGUAAAUUUUGUAGCAGGUAUACAAAUGGGUAUACAUGUUAUAAGUGCACAAAACAGACAAGACCAUUGCUCUGUGGGGUUUAGAUUUAAAGCAUAGCAUUUGCACACUAUCUCAUGUGAGGUGGCGAUACUAAAACUGUGUCUUCAUGUACAUUCACUCUGUUACUAAGGCAAGUGGACAUGUGGUGGUUGUAAAUAUGAUAAAGUUGCUCAUGAGAUUGAUGCGUCAUAGCACUUACAAAAAACAGAUGUUUUGACUGUGGUAUCUUUAAUGAGGUGAUCAUAAUAUUUAGUUCUGUGAAGUCAGACAUCUUUGUAAUUAAGUGUGCACAAUUUGGUCUGUUGUUAGUGUCUCUUUGUAAUUUUAUCACUGUGCAAACACAAGCAAAAUAGAGAUACCACAAAAACAUUUUUAAAAUGAUGUUUUGUAGGGGAAUAACUGGCAUCACAUUUAAAAUGUGUGUCAUGAACAAUCUUUUUAAUUAAGUCUUUGUCCAACUAAUUCCAACAUAAUGUUUGAACAACCAUUGUCACGAUGCAUUUGCUGUUGUAUAUUAAAAGAAUUACACACAGCUACAGAAAAUAUAAUGUUGAAAGAAAAAUGUAAAAUUACAAACAGAUUGUUGUAAAAGUUUGGUCUAUACAAGAUAUACUAAUAAACAAGAACCAACGUACUAGCCAUUGAGCUAUCCUGCUAACUUUUAAACAUCCCAAAUUUCAUGUUUCUUGACUUAGAACAAAUGAAACAAAUGAUUGCCAUUUAGAUUUUGCUUGCUGACCAGUAUGCUCUCUUCCGACUAAGGAGGUUUAAAAUGAAUAACAACCAGAGAAAUUCUUAAAGGUUUCUUCAAAAUGUAUGCUAGAUACCACAGAUUUGUGACAUGGAAGAUUAAAUCAGUUGAACAGGUGGAUAGUGUAGCAACAACAGCUGUAAAUCUUUUUUGGAUUCCGAGAAGAAGACUCAGUCAGAUGCCUUUACAGAAGACAUUUCUAGGUCUAUUCACUUAUGCUCAUUAGAUUUAUUGUAAGGCUUGAUAUGGCAGGAAUGACUGAAUGAGCUCUACAGUGUAUGUGUAAAAAAACAGAUAAUCUUGUUUGUCUGUGGUCCAUUGAUGUGGUGAUAGUUUCAAUGGUAAUAAUGCCACAUUUAGCUCAGAUAUUGGGAAUGCAUUUGUUUAUUCUGAUAUAGUUCCACAGAAAUUCUGUUCGUAUUGGCUGAUUAUGCAGAAUAUGAUUUAUAUCUUAUCGCAGCGCUCAGUGACAAUGCAGGAAAUAGCCAGCUAUUCAGGCAGAGAGGCAAAUGGAAAGGUUGUGAGGAAGUGGUGGUGGAUGGGCUUUAAAUGUGUGAUUUGGGAACUCAAACCCAGGGUUUACAACCUCAUAUCAGUAUUCUGUAUUUACAUUUUUUGUAUUAUUUAACGAUGAUGACAAUCAUCCCCAAACUUGAAGCAACUCAACUUGUCUAACCUAGUCGUAUUGAAAUUGCUUGGAACAUACAUGGUAGAAAUGUUUCAUUAAAAAAACUGCUUGCCCCAAGACAUUUGCACUUUUGCAGUUUCAACCAUUUAGCCGGCAGAAAACAGUCAUGUUUAGGUACAAGAUCAAACACCAUUAAGUGAAGCGACUAAUUAGGCAUAGAGAUUUUCAGAUAUUGAAUAUGUUAAAUUGUUGGCUUCAAUCUGUUUAAGUGACAGCAUUCUGUCAUUCAGACAUGGGUCAUUUUUACAUUAAUGUUUCUCAUGGCUUCAUUCAGACAUAUCACUGACACUGAGAGCCAUAGUAUAUACACAGUAUUUGCCAAAUACAAAGCGACAUAUAGUGCAGGAGAUUGUGCUGCCAUUACACAUAACAACGUAUAACAUGUUGUUGUAAUCUUGUGUGUGCAUAUUUGUUAAUGCAACUGCAUGCAGUUCAGACGUACAGAAAAUAAUAACAUCAGUAUUAAAAGGUCUGACCUUGUAUGACUCUCCCUGAGACUUUAACAGGAAAGUGACCAGGGUGCUUAUUCAAACAUGAAGUCAACAUGCUAAGAUGAUGUCAGUUCAAAGGAAAUGAGAGCAUGUUGGAAAGGGGCUAAUGUAGAGUAUUAAAGCUGUAGGUAGGUUUGGUGUGGUAUGUGAUCAGGUAUUACGCUGGGGAUUAGUAAGUAUAGGAAUGGUGUCUUGGGUUUGACGUGGGUAUAAGUCAAGAAGAGCAGGAUGGUUUGUCAGAAGAAAUGCACAUUUACAGUGUUUGGGUGCCAUUCAUUGGCUUGGCAAUUGUUCUCAACUUUCUUCCAUGCCACAACAUGAUGGGAUCUAGCAGUGAUGUUUUUAAAACUAUUUUGGGAGAUAUAUUUUUCUUUUCAUCCAGAGUAAAAUGAAAAGAUCCUGAUCACCUUUUUUAAACAUCUGAAAUCCAGGGACUUUGAGCUGUGCAUAUGAUCAAAUACCUCUAAUUGUCUCUGCAUCGUGUUUAACAUAGUAUCUGUUCAAAUUUUUCUGUAACGAACUUUAAUUUUUUUUCCCAUUGUGGCUGUAUGGACUUGUCUUUUUCAUUUGAUCUAAAGAACUUAGCUGUCCUUAGUUAAUAGCCUAUUGCUGUGAGAAAAUACUGUUACUGUAAAUGUUUAUUUACUGUAGUGAUUAUGCUAUAACAUUCAGGUUGUUGUCCUCAAUCAGAAAUAGCUUGUGUUUCCUUUUAGGAGUCAUAUUUGGAGAAAACUGGUUUCAGACAUUUUUGCUGGUGUACAACCUGACUUUACCUACUUCAGAACAGUACUGUUCAUGUAUGCACUUUCAGAUCCUAAAUAAAAUUGAGAUUAUGGUUUAA